AUUGAACGCUGGCGGCAGGCCUAACACAUGCAAGUCGCACGAGUGGCGGACGGGUGAGUAAUGUAUGGGAAUCUGCCCGAUGGAGGGGUAUAACUACUGGAAACGGUCGCUACUACCGCAUACCAUCGGAUGUACCCAUAUGGGAUUAGCUAGUAGGGGGGGUAAAGGCUCACCGAGGCGACGCUCCCUAGCUGGUCUGAGAGGAUGACCAGCCACACUGGAACUGAGACACGGGCCAGACUCCUACGGGAGGCAGCAGUGGGGAAUAUUGCACAAUGGGCGCAAGCCUGAUGCAGCCAUGCCGCGUGUAUGAAGAAGGCCUUCGGGUUGUAAAGUACUUUCAGCGAGGAGGCGUUACUCGCAGAAGAAGCACCGGCUAACUCCGUGCCAGCAGCCGCGGUAAUUC
rnacentral:rRNA from 1 species